UGUAAGCGUAUACCAAAGUUGUUGCAGUUAAAACGCUCGUAGUCGGAAUUUGGUAGUUCCGGAAGUGUGCACGUCGUGUGCGCACUUUGCGGGGACUGCUUUUGUGGUCUUGCGUAGGAUGAGGCACUUUCAUUAGUGAACGUCCUCACGCAACCACUCUUUACUGUGAGAAAAUCAGAGUGCUCAAAGCAGGCAUUUGCCGUGAAUGUAUUAGCAUGGAAUAAUAGAAUAGGACUCGGUUCUAUUUUGUUGGUUUGUUGGGACUGAGUAAUGAUUAAGAGGGACAGUUGGGGGCAUUUGUAUUCCGGCGCUAGAGGUGAAAUUCUUAGAUUGCCGGAAGACAAACUGCUGCGAAAGCGUCUGCCAAGGAUGUUUUCAUUGA
rnacentral:rRNA from 1 species